rnacentral:lncRNA from 1 species
CACAGCUAGGAAGUGUCUGAGAGAGGGUUUAAACUCAGGUCUUCCUGACUCCAGGCUCACAGCUGUACCUGCUGCACUACCUAGGGUAUGGCACAUGGGCUGAGCCUUGAAGUGGGCUAAGCAUUCUGAGAUGCAGAGGUGAGAGUGUAUUCCAGGUGUUAGAGACAGCUCGUGCACAGCCACAGUAUGGGAGAGGCUGUUGAGUUCAGGGAAGCCAGCACCAGGAGCUGUCCAGUUUGUCAUGUUUGUGUUGCUGCUCUUCAGACAGAACAUAAACUACAACUCAAACUCUCAGCUAAAUCAUGGCCAGGACCCUGGAGAAAUGUGGGAAGGAAAGCAUGGACUGCAUAAGCGACCUCAUUUGAUGUACAUAGAAGAGCUGCAAUUCCAUCUAUCAGGAACUACAGGAAUGGAAACUUGGUCCAUUGAGGCAGAAGGCAGCCCAACAACUCAUCUGCAAAAUAAAGGGUUGUGUACACACAGCUGGCAUGGUUCAAACCCACUGUUGAGUGAACACAUUUUCUUAGCCAAAUGUGUCUGCACAUGA